GACGAACGCUGGCGGCGUGCCUAAUACAUGCAAGUAGAACGCACAGUUUAUACCGUAGCUUGCUACACCAUAGACUGUGAGUUGCGAACGGGUGAGUAACGCGUAGGUAACCUGCCUGGUAGCGGGGGAUAACUAUUGGAAACGAUAGCUAAUACCGCAUAAUAUUGAUUAUUGCAUGAUAAUUAAUUGAAAGGCGCAAUUGCACCACUACCAGAUGGACCUGCGUUGUAUUAGCUAGUAGGUGAGGUAACGGCUCACCUAGGCGACGAUACAUAGCCGACCUGAGAGGGUGAUCGGCCACACUGGGACUGAGACACGGCCCAGACUCCUACGGGAGGCAGCAGUAGGGAAUCUUCGGCAAUGGACGAAAGUCUGACCGAGCAACGCCGCGUGAGUGAAGAAGGUUUUCGGAUCGUAAAGCUCUGUUGUAAGAGAAGAACGGGUGUGAGAGUGGAAAGUUCACACUGUGACGGUAUCUUACCAGAAAGGGACGGCUAACUACGUG
rnacentral:rRNA from 1 species